rnacentral:lncRNA from 10 species
AGGCCAAAGCCCAGCUCUGCCUGGGCCGGGAGGAGACUAGGGCCUCCUGCAGGCCAGAAGCUAGACAGAUGUUUUCUUCAUUGCCUCUGCCCAGAGGGCCCUGACCACAGACUUGAGCCCAGCCUGUCUGUUCCAGCUGCCAGACCAUAGGCCGUAGGGAGGACUGUUCUGUCCUGCUGGUGGAAACUCAAUGGAACUCAGCCCAGGGGCCCCAGCACUGACCUCCCAUUCAUCAGCGUCGCUGUAGAGGGUGACAGGAAUGUCCUGGGGGCUGUAGAAAUGUUUGGCUCUCUCAGUUGUGACCACUGCUACUUCCAGCUGUCACCAAGAAGAAGGGGGUGGCGGGGAGGGAGGAAGAAACUGUUACCAGAGCCACAGGCCUGGAGGCCACAGGAGGGUCAGGGCAGGCAGGUGCUGUCUUCACAGGCUGGCUUGAGAGAGGACUUCCCUCCUUAGCUGCAAGCCUCAUGUCUGCUUAGCUACUUCUGCUGUCACCCAAAGGUCAGGCCCUAUCAGGUGUGGCUGUUUCACUUCCCUAUCUGAGGGGCUGCUGAGGAAUGAGUCACCAACUGCCCGUAUAUACAAAGCUGCAAGCUCCUGCCACUCGGGCAGAGGUAGGCCCAGUGGCAGAGGCACGCAAGUGACAGGAAAGGAAGUCAAGGCCAGGGCCGCAGAGGCCACAGCAGGCAGGAGGGGCCACCCAAGGAGGCUCAUAGGUCCUGAGUUCUGUGCCACACAGCAGCUCUGCCCUCUGCAGGCCAAGGCGCUGGGGGCUGGGGCGCGGCAUGUCCUCUGUGCAUGCAUGACCCGAAGAGAAAGCAGACAGUAUCCCUUCACGUACUUCUAGGAACAAGUCCUCGUGGGCACAGGCUGCAGACAGGCUCCUGGAGAACCCAGCCUGUGUGUGCCCUACACUCAUGGGGUGAGAAUGAGGUUUACCUGGUGUACACUACCCAUUCACUAAGAAAUUACUAACGCAAACCAGGGCUGCCUGCAAUCUGCUUAACAGAACACAUGGCUGUGAAAAACAGCACCCAGGAGUGUGAAGGGCACUAGAUGGGUUGGCUAUCAUUUGUAAAACAAGAUUUUUUUUUUUUUUUUUUUUUGAGAUGGAGUCUUACUUUGUCGCCCAGGCUGGAGUGCAGUGGUAUGAUCUCGGCUCACCGCAACCUCCGCCUCCCAGGUUCAAGCCAUUCUCCUGCCUCAGCCUCCCGAGUAGCUGGGAUUACAGGUGCACACCACCACGCCUGGCUAAUUUUUGUGUUUUUAGUAGAGACGAGGUUUUUCACCAUGUUGGCCAAGCUGGUCUCAAACUCCUGACCUCAGGUGAUCCACCCGCCCCAGUCUCCCAAAGUGCUAGUGUUACAGGCGUGAGCCACCGCACCCAGCCUGUAAAACAAGAUUUUAGACUAACGAGCUGGCAAAGUACAGGGGCCCAGAGGAAGUAGCUGUUGGGGAGAGGGGUGUAUAGGGAACCACAUCUUUGGGGGAAACCAAUGAAUCAGGAGAGGACAUUUGUUUCUCUGGACAUUUAUCCAGAAGAAAGAAAAGUCAAGGGUGACAAGGACAGAACCAUCAACCAGCCAGAGCUAUAGUCAUGGGCCAUGUCUGGGCCAGACCCAGCCUAUAGACAUGCUGUUUGGCCUACACAAGAUUAUUAACAUUUUUGAGCCAACAUGUCCAAGUUGGAAGAUUUCGCAUAGAAAAUUCAAUUUCCUGAGUUCUUGUGAAAAGCUGAAGGCUAGGCGCUGCUGGACACACAUUCCUACGUGAGAGCGACGUGGUGCCCUAAGGCCUGCCUCUCACUCUGUAGGACGUGCCCAUGCCAAUUCCACCUUGUCCUCAUUCCUCCUUACUGUCUCUCUGAGGCACCCCCUCCUCGCUUGCUUCCUGCAUAUUGUACAGGGCAGGGUGGAUGACACAGCGGCACAGCGCCUAGGAACAAAGCUAGGACCAAGGAGUAGAAGUCUCAGAGAAGAAGACUGAGGAAGAACUUCAGAAAGUCUGGCGUUCUGAGUUCUAUUGACUUGUCCAUUCUCCAUCUCACUCCCCCUUAGGAUCUACCAUGCCCAGAACCUGCAAAAAAACCUCAAGGACCUUUUCAGAGGUCCAUCACUUAUUUAUUUAUUUACAGAGUCUUACUCCAUUGCCCAGGAUAGAGUGCAGUUGUGUGAUCAUGGCUCACUGCAGCCUCAACUGCCCUGGGCUCAGGUGAUCCUCCCAUCUCAGCCUCUUGAGUAGCUGGGACUACAGGUGCAUGUCACCAUGCCCAGCUAAUUUUUUGUAUUUUCGGUAGAGACAGUGUUUCACCAUGUUGCCCAGAAUUAUCUCAAACUCCUAGGCUCAAGCAAUCCACCCACCUUGGCCUCUCAAAGUGCUAGGAUUACAAGCAUGAACCACCAUGCCCAGCCUAGAGGUCAUUUAAACCAAACUCCCACUGAAUGCUGGAGUCUCCCUAGGAUGGCCCUGAAUAAGCCUUGCCCAGUUCUGAGUAAGAUGGCAAAUGAGCAGGGCUGCAUUAUCCCUCCCCGGAACCCAGUCCUGGAGAUGCCACUGGGCCAGCACAGGUUGGGAGAGCAGGGCAGGGCGGGGCCAUGCUGAAGGCCCUGUCUCUUUCGUGGGGAAGACACAAGAUAGUGAUGAGGUAAAGAAGAGGGCACAAUAAGUUAUGGUAACCAUAAGAAGAAUAACCUUUACCUUUCAAACCCACAGAAGGAAAUUCAAUCUACACAUAAAGGAUACGAAAGGAGAAAAAGAAGCAGAGAGAAUAUAUGAUAAAGCAUUUGGCCGGGAGCAGUAAUGGGAUUACGCUCAUGCCUGUAAUCCCAGCACUUUGGAAGGCCGAGACAGGCAGACUGCUUGAGCCCAGGAGUUCAACACCAGCCUGGGCAACAUGGUGAGACCCCCAUCUCUACAAAAAAUACAAAAAUUAGCCAGGCAUGGUGGUGUGCGCCUGUAGUCCCAGCUAUAUUCGGGAAGCUGAAGUGGGCGGAGCCCUUGAGCCUGGGAAGGCAGAGGCUGCAGUGAGCAGAGAUCAAGUUACUGCACUCCAGCCUGGGUGAAAGGGUGAGACCCUAACUCCAAAAAAAAUA